rnacentral:rRNA from 1 species
AUGAACGCUGGCGGCGUGCCUCAUCCAUGCAAGUCGAGCGCACGGACGAGAAGCUUGCUUCUCUGAUGUUCGCGGCGGACGGGUGAGUAACACGUGGAUAACCUACCUAUAAGACUGGGAUAACUUCGGGAAACCGGAGCUAAUACCGGAUAAUAUUUUGAACCGCAUGGUUCAAAAGUGAAAGACGGUCUUGCUGUCACUUAUAGAUGGAUCCGCGCUGCAUUAGCUAGUUGGUAAGGUAACGGCUUACCAAGGCAACGAUGCAUAGCCGACCUGAGAGGGUGAUCGGCCACACUGGAACUGAGACACGGUCCAGACUCCUACGGGAGGCAGCAGUAGGGAAUCUUCCGCAAUGGGCGAAAGCCUGACGGAGCAACGCCGCGUGAGUGAUGAAGGUCUUCGGAUCGUAAAACUCUGUUAUUAGGGAAGAACAUAUGUGUAAGUAACUGUGCACAUCUUGACGGUACCUAAUCAGAAAGCCACGGCUAACUACGUG